UGCCCGUCAGUCAGUCCGCCAGCCGCCCUCGGAGGCCCUCGCUCAGGUGCCCGGCCGCGUGCUUGUCUCUCGCUCUCCUCACUUCAGGUUCCCGCCCCGAGAGUCCGGACGGAGGACGCGGAGAGGCGGCAAGAGUGGCCAGGAUGCGGUCUGCAGGGCUGCGGCGGGCCUGAGGUGAACAGACCGUUGCGGGGCCUUCCCGUCAAGCCCUCAGGGUCCGGCGCAGCGCCCGGGACGCGGACGGAGGUAGAGAAACUGAGGCCCAAGGAGAGGAAUGGACUUGCCUGGACAUUCCAGGAAUCCAGAGGCAACUCGGGCCAAGAUGAGGAAACCCAGGAGAGGAAGUCUGCCACUGCAUUCUGAAAAGAAAGCCCCUCCUGGGGACAGAAACAGAAACACAAACACAUGGAUAGCACUUGUCUGUGUGUGCAAAGGAUGUCUGGAAGGA